CGGGAAGCCUCGGCUCGCCGCCCACCCGCCAGCUCGCCAGAGAGGAUUCUGGAGGGCGGUAGAAACUAAGUCUGGAGACCUGUCUCAUACUGCUGGCCAGACCCUAGGCAGGUCUUUCAGGGCCCAAGUUUCCUCAUCUGCAAAAUAAAGUGGUCAUCGAAAAUGACCUGUGGAGCCGCCCACUAGAUUUGAAAUUCUGUGUGCAAACUGCCCCCGGAGCAGCUGAAAGGAAAUCGAGGUGUUCACUUGCCCCCUUUGAAGUCCAGGGAUUGUCAAGAAAUUCCUUUAACGAAUUCUCCCUGAUUUUGCUUUAUCAAGUGCGGCUUCUUGUUAAUCUGGAAAAUGGGAAUACAUACCUCUCCUCUCAGCUUGCCGUGAUGGUUGGGAAAAUGUGUAUGUGAACACAAUAUUGAAAUGUACCUAGAGACACAACAUAGGUAGGUAGGUAGGUAGGUAGGUAGAUACUGCUAUCCGUACUAUUACUCGAUCAUUCUAUUUUUAGUGCCUGAAAUCUACCUGAUGGUGUCCAGAUUUUAUUGCUUCUUUCAGUUUAAAGAGCAAGAAUUUAUGCUUCCAGUGCCUUUGGAAGAGGAAGGGAAGAAGUUUGUUCUGGUUAUGUUUUGUACCGCAAAUGUGGAAAAGAAAUGUUGCCUGCAACCACACACACAUAACUUGGCUUCUUUGGUCAACAUCCCUUUCCUUUAAGAGUGUAUAACACUGUAGUGCUUUUACAUGACAGAUGCAGCAUUCAUCUCAAACAGGGUUUUUUGGGAUGUUUCAGACUGGUGACAUUUUGGAUUGGGUAAGGUGCCUUACAAAUUCCUUGUUAAAUUUCAGUGCUGCCCCUUGAAGCAUUACAUUGUGGUGGCUAAAGGCACGGCUGCAAGUCAGGUAAACCUAGGUUCAAAUCUGGGCUUUCCCUUCAUACCAGCUUUGUGUUGGCCAAAUCACUUAGCCACAUGAAGCCUGUUUCUUUGUCUAUAAUAAAAGAGGGAUAAUCAUUUUUACCUCAUAAAAGGAUUAAUUGUGAUAGCACAUGCAGAAGAGAUUGAGUAGUCCUUGGUGCAUCGUAAAUGUUUAGAAAACAGCAAUUAUAAUUAUCAUAGGCCAAGUUCUAUAAUCUGAGGUGAUUGGAUUCUUUCUUUCCCCAUAGCGACUUUUGAAUACAACUUUUCUGACUCAGUGUAAUGCUUUACCAUUCAUUAUAUCAAACUGGACUUAACCUUGGUAACACAGUGAGCUGUCUUCAUCUCUUUCUGUAAAGGUUUGAGUUUAAAUGGUCGAGGAAGGGGAGCAAAGGAGGAGAAAAGUGAUAUUUUUAUUUUAAAAGAUGUUAUUAAUCAUUUCCAGAUACCAAACUACCGAACCAUAAGCCAGAGCCUCUGCUGCACACACCACCAGCCCCUGAGGUGGGGAUGACAAACAUAACAGAGAACGGAAUGGUAAGGCGUGAGUGCGGUUCUGCAGGCUUAUGGUAUUUCUGCCAUUUGAGUGCCUGCUUCCCUUCCUAGAUGUCUUGACCUCAUUGAGCAGUUUAUUCAUUGUCAUAUCCCCCAGUAGUGUCCACGGUGAGUGUUCAAUAAAUGAUAUUUGUUAACCACACAGAAGUGACAGCAGCACCAUCAAGAGAACAUGUGCUUUGAGCUGCUUUUCCAAGAAUGGAAAUGGAUUUGCUUUGAUCCAUUCAUGUGACCAGGGGCACGCUUUGUAAGGGUUAGGAACAUAAUACAUGACCACUGACUCUUUCAGGAGUGAACAAGAGGCCUUGUCCUCCUUGGCCAGCCCCACAUUUACUUAAAAUGAUGAAAUUAGGGCGCAGAUGAGUCCAAGAACUGACCAGGGAGGCUUGAGCAUAGGCGAGAAGUAAAAGCAGAAGAAAACCCUUAACUGGUUCACCCGCAGAAACCCAGACUGUACUUUUAGAGAAGUUAAAAGUAAAACAGCCUGUUUCAUCCAGUUUGACUUUGCUGUGUCUGCUGCCCUUUCUUCUCCUUCCCCUUCUUCCCUAAAUUGCCACCCGCCCCCAUUCUUCACCCCCACCAUAAAAAGAGCAUUAGAAUGCUUGAACCCAUGAACUUUUCUGUUUCUUGGUACACACCAUAUCAGUGCUGACAAGGGGUUCCAUUGCAUGUGCUUUGAAGUCAUAUUUUUCUCUCUUAGAGUAGAAUUGCCAUGUCCAAGGGGUGGGUGGAGUGGGAGAGCAAUUACAGGGAAAGAUUUUGUUCCAAAUCUGCAGAAAUAGCCUGAGAUUAAAAGUAUUUCUUCAAUGUUGUUCUGCUGCCUGAAAUAAAAGCUUUGUAUUAGGAUUUUGCUCUACUCCCAAAUCUUAUCUCUAUUAGGAAACAACUUUUCUCUUUUUUUUUUUUUUUUUUUUUUUUUUUUUUGAGACGGAGUCUUACUCUGUUGCUCAGGCUGGAUGCAGUGGCGCAAUCUCGGCUCACUGCAACCUCCACUCACUGUAACCUCUGCCUCCCGGGUUCAAGCAAUUCUCCUGCCUCAGCCUCCCAAGGAGCUGGGAUUACAGGCGUGUGCCACCACACCCAGCUAAUUUUUUGGUAUUUUUAGUAGAGACGAGGUUUCACCAUAUUGGCCAGACUUGUCUUGAACUCCUGACCUUGUGAUCCGCCUGCCUCGGCCUCCCAAAGUGCUGCGAUUACAGGCGUGAGCCACUGUGCCCGGCCCUUUCUCUGUCUUUUAAAGGAUCCAUUCUCACUCUGCAAGUAUGAAGUCCUUUACCUGGGGAUCUGGAGUGCCUUCCCAGGGCCUGUGUGGUUGCCUUAUACACAUUAGACACAAAAUUUAGGGUAGGGCUCACAUUGACCAAACCUUUUCUGUUUAGGAAAUGGAGUUUUCCCUGUGUAUGAAUGAUUUCAAUAGGCAUUCAGUGAGACCUUUAAAUCAUGUUAAAGAGAUACAAUUGAGACUCAGGGUUGGGGAACACCCUGGAAACCCAACCCAGAAUUGUAAAAUAUUCUUUUAAAAAUUAUUAUUAUGUAAUAAACCAACAUCAGUUCUUUCCAAAAGAAUGGACCAUAGUAG
rnacentral:lncRNA from 1 species